rnacentral:rRNA from 1 species
AUUGAACGCUGGCGGCGUGCCUAACACAUGCAAGUCGAGCGGUAACAGGUGUAGCAAUACAUGCUGACGAGCGGCGAACGGGUGAGUAAUGCUUUGGAAUCUUCCCAGUAGUGGGGAAUAACCAGUCGAAAGAUUGGCUAAUACCGCAUACGUCUGUAAAGGGAAAGCGGGGGCUCGUAAGACCUCGCGCUAUUGGAUGAGCCAAAGUCGGAUUAGCUAGUUGGUGGGGUAAUGGCCUACCAAGGCGACAAUCCGUAGCUGGUCUGAGAGGACGACCAGCCACACCGGAACUGAGACACGGUCCGGACUCCUACGGGAGGCAGCAGUGGGGAAUAUUGGACAAUGGGGGAAACCCUGAUCCAGCGACGCCGCGUGUGUGAAGAAGGCCUGCGGGUUGUAAAGCACUUUUAGUGGGGACAAAAAGCUACGGAUUAAUACUCUGUGGUCUUGAUUUAACCCAAAGAAAAAGCACCGGCUAACUCUGUGCCAGCAGCCGCGGUAAUACAGAGGGUGCGAGCGUUAAUCGGAAUUACUGGGCGUAAAGCGCGCGUAGACGGUUUUGUAAGUCAGAUGUGAAAUCCCUGGGCUCAACCUGGGAACUGCAUUUGAUACUGCAU